CCGCAGCCCCAGCAGCCUGGCUACCCGUACCCGUCCAAGCCCCAGCCCCAGCAGCCUGGCUACCCGUACCCUUCCAAGCCCCAGCCCCAGCCCCAGCAGCAGCCUGGCUACCUAUCCAAGCCCCAGCUGCAACCACAGCUCGGCUACCCUUCCAGUGGCAAGACUGAGGGUGCACCUAACAGUGGGGGUUCAACAGGAAUGACUGGAACCCAUUUCAACUCUGGAAGAAAAGGGUGAUUUGGCCUUAAACUGAUAUCUGGGAAGUUUUCUACAGAUGGGCUUUUGAACAACUGAAGCUUGUACCAUGGUCUUUGAGGAAUAAAAGCAUUUUUGUCAAA